rnacentral:rRNA from 1 species
UGCCAGCAGCCGCGGUAAUACAUAGGGUUCAAGCGUUGUCCGGAAUUACUGGGCGUAAAGCGUGCGCAGGCUGUUUUACAAGUCAGAUGUGAAAUCCCCGAGCUCAACUUGGGAACUGCGUUUGAAACUGUAAGACUAGAGUGUGUCAGAGGGGGGUAGAAUUCCACGUGUAGCAGUGAAAUGCGUAGAUAUGUGGAGGAAUACCAAUGGCGAAGGCAGCCCCCUGGGAUAACACUGACGCUCAUGAACGAAAGCGUGGGGAGCAAACAGGAUUAGAUA